UCUCCUCUUAGUUCUGAUUUCUCCACUGCUGGUUCCGAUCCGGAACAGGUUGUUUCCUUUGGGCUCAGAUAGGUGAUAAGAAAGCAGUGCAUUGUACCCAGAAUCUGCAUCUACAGCCCUGAUCUUUGCCACAAAGAUCAGAAGAGCACA